rnacentral:ncRNA from 1 species
ACCUGAGUCUGGUGCUGUGAGGAGACGUCAAAGAUGUACAAUAAAUGGGAGACUCCAUGGUUGAGCAAUUCAGGCCAUGGUCCAGUUGCCAGUGAAAUACUAUUGACCAUUUUUCCCACUUACCCAGUGAGGUGUGUGGAGGGGUGACCCCCAAAGGGCUUCCAUUGCUGAUGCCAAGUACCUGGCACAACCUGUUCCAGGGCAGUGUCAGGUGGAGAGUUUGACUGGGGCAGUACACCUGUCACACCAUAUCGCAGAUGUCCUAAGAUGGUCUCAGAGAGAACAGAAAUCUCUUGCGGAGCAGAUCAAAGGUUGAUCUUAAUUUUCAGUAUAAAUAUCGUUCAUGAAAGCAGGGCCUCACGGUCCUUCUGACUUUUUGGGUUUUAAGCACCCAUCCAGGAG